ACCUCUCUUAGAUCUCAUUUAAGGGCUGACUGCCACAAGAAAAGGAUCUUUUUCUGGAGGUCUCUCCUUAGAGAAGCUUUCCCUUCAAACCUAGAAUCUCCUGAUACAGGUGAGGUUCAAGUCACAGGACAAGAGAAGUGUACUCCAAAAAUAAAAGCAGACUUUAUCUCAUGCUGUCCAGCAAAUUCCUAUAUGAAAGCAGGAGGAUUUCAGCUUCUCAUAUCUUGACUGAUUGAUUGAUUCAUCAUUAACAACCCGAACCUUUGAAUGAAACCAGUGGGAGUCUUGCCAUUUUACCAGCAAGAACAGACUGCUGCUUAAGUUUCCCACAUGAAAGUACAGUUCACUAAUGUGUAAAAGGGUAAAAUAAAAUCCAAGAGACUGAGAUGGCUGCUCUUAAUGUCAAUUUAGUAUAGAAAACUUGUGCUGAAGCAACUGUUUGAGUAUAAUCAG